GAUACAUAUGUACUUCCGUUUUAUCAGAAUGCUCUAAUACCAUGCAGUUCAAAUGCUGCCUUUUUGUCUAGAGCUGCCACUGUCACAUCAUUUCUUGAUCCCAGAUAUUUAGACUCAACGUCUUUGGGAUUUGCGAGAAAUAAAGCAAGGACAGCAUGGAACAAGCGACACAACAAGAAGUUGAUAGAAAACACCUAAAUCGUAGCAGGAGCAAACGAGUUGCAGGAUGGUCAAGGGACUCCGCAAAGAAACGUUGACAAGGAGUAAGGAGCAGAAGUGAACAAGAGACACAACAAGAAACCUCUUGAGGAUCUCC